rnacentral:rRNA from 1 species
AUUGAACGCUGGCGGCAUGCCUUACACAUGCAAGUCGAACGGCAGCACGGGAGCAAUCCUGGUGGCGAGUGGCGAACGGGUGAGUAAAGUAUCGGAACGUGCCCAGUCGUGGGGGAUAACGUAGCGAAAGUUACGCUAAUACCGCAUACGAUCUAUGGAUGAAAGCGGGGGAUCGCAAGACCUCGCGCGAUUGGAGCGGCCGAAAUCAGAUUAGGUAGUUGGUGGGGUAAAGGCUCACCAAGCCGACGAUCUGUAGCUGGUCUGAGAGGACGACCAGCCACACUGGGACUGAGACACGGACCAGACUCCUACGGGAGGCAGCAGUGGGGAAUUUUGGACAAUGGGCGAAAGCCUGAUCCAGCCAUGCCGCGUGCAGGAUGAAGGCCUUCGGGUUGUAAACUGCUUUUGUACGGAACGAAAAGGUUUGGCCUAAUAAGCUGAGCUCAUGACGGUACCGUAAGAAUAAGCACCGGCUAACUACGUGCCAGCCGCCGCAGUAA